AUGAGACACUGUUGCUUUUUCUGUGAAAGUACAAAUCUGCUCAUGUUCAGUUUGCUGUUGAUGUGUAAAUCAGAUGGAAAUCGCAGUUGUUGUAAAAAUAUUUGAUCUGCUGGAAGUAAGUGUCUGCAACUGCAAAGGAAAGUGUUCAUCUCAUGUCCAAGGGCCAAACAAAGACCAUUUAUGAGGAGUAUCGAUCUAAGUCAUGCAGGCUGCGAAGGAGCCGAUGAUGAAACUAUGGAGCAAAAGAGUGUUUCUGGCGAAACAGACGAGGUCACCCGAGAUCAUUUACAUGUAGAAUGAAACCUGAGGUACAUGAAGCCCUGAGGCUGCACACAGUAGGUGGCGGUAUGCAGCUUUGCGAAGAAGAAGAAGAAGAAGAAGAAGAAAAAGAAGAAGAAGAAGAAGAAGAAGAAGAAGUAGAAGAAGAAGAAGACGACGACGACGACAAAGAAGAAACAACAACACGAAAAAGUUAGAAGAUGAAGUUCGACGGACUUAGCUAACUAGUUUAAAAGAAGGAAAGGAUGCUCUUCCAUUGUCCUUUUCCUUGUACAAAGUGGGAAAUGUUCGAGUUCCGAGAUGUUUGGAGCGCAGCCACGAGAAUAAAGGUACCUGUGUGUUUCAUUUGAUCGCCUGUCGCUAUAACAUCAGCGAGAGUGUCAUCAGUUUGACAUCCUGCGAACCUGCUGAAGAUUAAAAAUGCCCACACCUGUGCCAACCCGAAAGUUGCUGAAAGAAUACCUGGAUGAUUUGAAUGAUGAAAGGCUGAGGGAAUUUCAUUGGCACUUGUGGCAGAUUGAGAUAGAUGGAUCCCGACACAUCCCGGAGUCCAAGCUGCCAAAGAAUUCUACAAGAGAGGCAACUGUGGAUAAACUGGUGGAGGCUUUUGGGGAAGAUGGUGCUGUGGAGAGGACAGUAGAUACUUUAUAUGAGAUGAAGUGUAAUGACCUUGCCUCAAAGCUAGUUCAAGCCAAAAUGGACAAAAGCCUGGAACAGAAAGCAGAUAAGCCAGAGACCUCUGCAGGAGAGAAACCAAGAAAAGUUGAUCCCAUCUUCCCAGAGAAUCUCUGUUGUUUUUUUGAUAAACAUAUGGUGCAGCAGUGUGGACACAGUCGGCUCAUUCACAAAGUCUUGAAGAGCCACAUCCUUGGGGAACGCUCACUUUCUGAGCAGUUAAAACAUGAAGUCGACCCUCUGUUUGGAUAUGAUUAUGUAAACGACACAGAUAUAUUUAUGCAGGACGAUGGUACAUGUUCUUUAUUUCUUUAGCUGCAGGCAGCACAGUGGUGAAAAGCAGCCAUUAUCUUACAAGAAAUGACAUGAGAAACAAGAAAGAAACUAAAACAAUGUCACACUAAAGUAAGAGCCAGUUGGAUUGUGAAGCGAUAUUAGUUCAAAUUGCUUUAUUAAUUCUGAUGAAGUGAUUUUAAUUUCAGUCUGCGCCCAGUACCUUCAGAGAGAAGCAGGAAGCUUUAAAAGAUGUCAAACAAUGGCGUGAUUCAUCGAUUGAGCAGAUUUUGACUCAGAGCGACUUCGAAGAGAAGCAGAUUAUGAACGACUUCAAGAGGCUUCAUGACUUUCUCAACGAAGAGGAAAAGAACAGACGAGCUGCAUUAAGAAAACAAACAAGACAGAAGAUCCGUAGGACAAAUUUGAUCGCUGACACGACUGAAGACAUAUUCUUGCUCUCUGACAGUAAAGCCAAUCGAAGGUUCCGGGUCAACAAAAGAAUCACAGGGACUUUGCAGGUCUGUACGGUUUUCAUAAUAAGCGUACUUUUGGCUGUGGGGAUUGGUUGGACAAUUUUCGCAACGCCAGCUACAUGUGUCGAAGCCAGUGGAAAACCUUCCGCUCGCAGUCUUGGAGAAGAUGUGAAACAACAUAAAAAGAACGGAAGUGACGUUCAGUGAUACACAGCAGCCGUGUUCUUGAAACCCAGAGCGCAGAACCAGCCAUCAGCAGAAUCUACAGAAAAGUCCCAAAAGGAGGAGAGUAGAACGAGACUAUGAAAAUGGGAAAGUGUCCUUUCAUGAUCCUGAUAAUUACACAUCCAUCCUGACCCACGAGGAGACAUUUACUCAAUUUCCUGUCUUGAAUUUCGGUGAUGACACUGACACUGACGAUGAGGUUGAGCAGGGCUUUCUACCACUGAAAGACUGGUAAAACUAUAGAAAAACACAUUUGAUUGCAAAGGAUGUUAUUCUGUUCUUCAAACUAUCAAAACAGCUGGUGUUGUUUCCUACAAUUCAACAAAAGUAUUGAACAGAACUACCAAAUAUAAACAACCAAACAAUAGAAUACAUCCUGACAAAAAGGCACUUUGGACAUGAGGGGUAAAGGGCAAAACUUAUCUUAUGUCACAUCACUGUACUAUAUUUAUGUAGUUACAUGCUUUAAACUUCUUAAGCCAUUAUUGUUGUUGUGAUACACUCAGGUGAAACUGAGUACAUUAUGCUGUUUUUUUUUUUUAAUGACCUGAAGUAAAUAUUUUAUAUGAGGAAUGUCAAUUUAUCUGUUCAUCACCAUUUUCCAAUGUUUCAUGAUUUAGUCGCCGUUGUGAUAAACUGACAUCUUGCAUCAAUACUGACUUAAUAGAAGUACUGUAGAACUGUUACAUUUGAUGUCAGUUCAUUUUAUAUACAAGAUCAAUGUAUAAUUGUUAUUAUGUUUGCACGCUUUUAUCAGUAUUUAGCUCAAAGAACCACUGUGCCUAAAUAUUCUAAAUGAGGAGACAGUUUUCUCAAAAUCUCUUUGGGAUUUUGAGGUAUUUUUGUCUUUUGUUAUCAAAUCCUAAUAUCUUGCUUUCACAUGAUGUCACAUUUGACCAAGAUCAGUGUAUAAUUUACCAAUAAAGCUCAUCAAAGCAUGUU